GACGAACGCUGGCGGCGUGCUUAACACAUGCAAGUCGAACGGAAAGGCCCUGCUUUUGUGGGGUGCUCGAGUGGCGAACGGGUGAGUAACACGUGAGUAACCUGCCCUUGACUUUGGGAUAACUUCAGGAAACUGGGGCUAAUACCGGAUAGGAGCUCCUGCUGCAUGGUGGGGGUUGGAAAGUUUCGGCGGUUGGGGAUGGACUCGCGGCUUAUCAGCUUGUUGGUGGGGUAGUGGCUUACCAAGGCUUUGACGGGUAGCCGGCCUGGGAGGGUGACCGGCCACAUUGGGCCUGAGAUACGGCCCAGACUCCUACGGGAGGCAGCGGUGGGGAAUAUUGCACAAUGGGCGGAAGCCUGAUGCAGCAACGCCGCGUGCGGGAUGACGGCCUUCGGGUUGUAAACCGCUUUCGCCUGUGACGGAGCGUGAGUGACGGUAAUGGGUAAAGAAGCACCGGCUAACUACGUG
rnacentral:rRNA from 1 species